rnacentral:rRNA from 1 species
UACAGAGGUGGCAAGCGUUGUUCGGAAUUACUGGGCGUAAAGGGCGCGUAGGCGGUUCUGUAAGUCCCGCGUGAAAUCCCCCGGCUCAACUGGGAAACUGCGCGGGAAACUGUGGGGCUAGAGUUCAGGAGAGGGAAGCGGAAUUCCGGGUGUAGCGGUGAAAUGCGUAGAUAUCCGGAGGAACACCGGUGGCGAAGGCGGCUUCCUGGACUGACACUGACGCUGAGGCGCGAAAGCUAGGGGAGCAAACGGG